ACGUUAUUACUGGUUCUCUAAUCUGUGAUGGAAGCCAUAGGCCUGAAAAAUCCAGAGAGUGAAAGGGUCCAAGUCAGAGACCAGGACAAAAGGAGAGAGCCCCAUUUGCGACAGAGACUACUGCUCCGUUCCAGGCGGAAGGCAAGGCGUGCGCAAGAGGUCGGCGGACGAAAAGAAAUGAGAUUUGAGGCCCAGCGAAUGAACAGCCUUCAGAGGAGCAAAGCGUGCGAGAUGAGCUUCGGCGGAAGAGGAGCGAGGACGGCGAUUGAGCGUCCUGAAAGCAAAGGCCUCGGAGCGUCAUCGUUCUAUUAAACGUAUUCAAAUCCA